rnacentral:rRNA from 1 species
UGAGGAAUAUUGGUCAAUGGACGAGAGUCUGAACCAGCCAUGCCGCGUGAAGGAUGAAGGCGUUCUGCGUUGUAAACUUCUUUUGCGGGGGAAGAAACCUUGAUAUUCUUAUCAAGCCGACGGUACCCCGAGAAUAAGCACCGGCUAACUCCGUGCCAGCAGCCGCGGUAAUACGGAGGGUGCAAGCGUUAUCCGGAUUUACUGGGUUUAAAGGGUGUGUAGGCGGAUUAUUAAGUCAGCGGUGAAAUCUCCAGGCUCAACCUGGAAACUGCCAUUGAUACUAUUAGUCUUGAAUAUUGUUGAGGUGGGCGGAACGGGUCAUGUAGCGGUGAAAUGCAUAGAUAUGACCCGGAACACCGAUUGCGAAGGCAGCCCACUAAGCAAUGAUUGACGCUGAGGCACGAAAGCGUGGGGAUCAAACA